rnacentral:rRNA from 1 species
AGAGUUUGAUCCUGGCUCAGGAUGAACGCUGGCGGCGUGCCUAAUACAUGCAAGUCGAGCGAAUGGAUUAAGAGCUUGCUCUUAUGAAGUUAGCGGCGGACGGGUGAGUAACACGUGGGUAACCUACCCAUAAGACUGGGAUAACUCCGGGAAACCGGGGCUAAUACCGGAUAAUAUUUUGAACUGCAUAGUUCGAAAUUGAAAGGCGGCUUCGGCUGUUACUUAUGGAUGGACCCGCGUCGCAUUAGCUAGUUGGUGAGGUAACGGCUCACCAAGGCGACGAUGCGUAGCCGACCUGAGAGGGUGAUCGGCCACACUGGGACUGAGACACGGCCCAGACUCCUACGGGAGGCAGCAGUAGGGAAUCUUCCGCAAUGGACGAAAGUCUGACGGAGCAACGCCGCGUGAGUGAUGAAGGCUUUCGGGUCGUAAAACUCUGUUGUUAGGGAAGAACAAGUGCUAGUUGAAUAAGCUGGCACCUUGACGGUACCUAACCAGAAAGCCACGGCUAACUACGUGCCAGCAGCCGCGGUAAUACGUAGGUGGCAAGCGUUGUCCGGAAUUAUUGGGCGUAAAGCGCGCGCAGGCGGUCCUUUAAGUCUGAUGUGAAAUCCCACGGCUCAACCGUGGAAGGUCAUUGGAAACUGGGGGACUUGAGUACAGAAGAGGAAAGCGGAAUUCCAAGUGUAGCGGUGAAAUGCGUAGAGAUUUGGAGGAACACCAGUGGCGAA